GGUUAAGCGACUAAGCGUACACGGUGGAUGCCCUGGCAGUCAGAGGCGAUGAAGGACGUGCUAAUCUGCGAAAAGCGUCGGUAAGGUGAUAUGAACCGUUACAGCCGGCGAUGUCCGAAUGGGGAAACCCAGUGCAAUUCGUUGCACUAUCGUUUGAUGAAUACAUAGUCAAACGAGGCGAACCGGGGGAACUGAAACAUCUAAGUACCCCGAGGAAAAGAAAUCAACCGAGAUUCCCCCAGUAGCGGCGAGCGAACGGGGAGCAGCCCGGAGUCUGAAUCAGCUUGUGUGUUAGUGGAAGCGUCUGGAAAGUCGCAGGGUACAGGGUGAUACUCCCGUACACUAAAACACACAGGCUGUGAACUCGAAGAGUAGGGCGGGACACGUGGUAUCCUGUCUGAAUAUGGGGGGACCAUCCUCCAAGGCUAAAUACUCCUGACUGACCGAUAGUGAACCAGUACCGUGAGGGAAAGGCGAAAAGAACCCCGGCGAGGGGAGUGAAAAAGAACCUGAAACCGUGUACGUACAAGCAGUAGGAGCCCACUAGUUGGGUGACUGCGUACCUUUUGUAUAAUGGGUCAGCGACUUAUAUUCUGUAGCAAGGUUAACCGUAUAGGGGAGCCGCAGGGAAACCGAGUCUUAACUGGGCGUUAAGUUGCAGGGUAUAGACCCGAAACCCGGUGAUCUAGCCAUGGGCAGGUUGAAGGUUGGGUAACACUAACUGGAGGACCGAACCGACUAAUGUUGAAAAAUUAGCGGAUGACUUGUGGCUGGGGGUGAAAGGCCAAUCAAACCGGGAGAUAGCUGGUUCUCCCCGAAAGCUAUUUAGGUAGCGCCUCGUGAACUCAUCUUCGGGGGUAGAGCACUGUUUCGGCUAGGGGGUCAUCCCGACUUACCAACCCGAUGCAAACUACGAAUACCGAAGAAUGUUAUCACGGGAGACACACGGCGGGUGCUAACGUCCGUCGUGAAGAGGGAAACAACCCAGACCGCCAGCUAAGGUCCCAAAGUCAUGGUUAAGUGGGAAACGAUGUGGGAAGGCCCAGACAGCCAGGAUGUUGGCUUAGAAGCAGCCAUCAUUUAAAGAAAGCGUAAUAGCUCACUGGUCGAGUCGGCCUGCGCGGAAGAUGUAACGGGGCUAAACCAUGCACCGAAGCUGCGGCAGCGACACUAUGUGUUGUUGGGUAGGGGAGCGUUCUGUAAGCCGUUGAAGGUGGCCUGUGAGGGUUGCUGGAGGUAUCAGAAGUGCGAAUGCUGACAUAAGUAACGAUAAUGCGGGUGAAAAACCCGCACGCCGGAAGACCAAGGGUUCCUGUCCAACGUUAAUCGGGGCAGGGUGAGUCGACCCCUAAGGCGAGGCCGAAAGGCGUAGUCGAUGGGUAACAGGUUAAUAUUCCUGUACUUGGUGUUACUGCGAAGGGGGGACGGAGAAGGCUAUGUUGGCCGGGCGACGGUUGUCCCGGUUUAAGCAUGUAGGCGGAUGUUCCAGGUAAAUCCGGAACGUUACUAACGCUGAGGUGUGAUGACGAGGCACUACGGUGCUGAAGUGACAAAUGCCCUGCUUCCAGGAAAAGCCUCUAAGCAUCAGGUAACAUCAAAUCGUACCCCAAACCGACACAGGUGGUCAGGUAGAGAAUACCAAGGCGCUUGAGAGAACUCGGGUGAAGGAACUAGGCAAAAUGGUGCCGUAACUUCGGGAGAAGGCACGCUGAUGGUAGGUGAAGUGACUUGCUCAUGGAGCUGAAAUCAGUCGAAGAUACCAGCUGGCUGCAACUGUUUAUUAAAAACACAGCACUGUGCAAACACGAAAGUGGACGUAUACGGUGUGACGCCUGCCCGGUGCCGGAAGGUUAAUUGAUGGGGUUAUCCUCACGGAGAAGCUCUUGAUCGAAGCCCCGGUAAACGGCGGCCGUAACUAUAACGGUCCUAAGGUAGCGAAAUUCCUUGUCGGGUAAGUUCCGACCUGCACGAAUGGCGUAAUGAUGGCCAGGCUGUCUCCACCCGAGACUCAGUGAAAUUGAACUCGCUGUGAAGAUGCAGUGUACCCGCGGCAAGACGGAAAGACCCCGUGAACCUUUACUAUAGCUUGACACUGAACACUGGUCCUUGAUGUGUAGGAUAGGUGGGAGGCUUUGAAGUGUGGACGCCAGUCUGCAUGGAGCCAUCCUUGAAAUACCACCCUUUAAUGGCUGGUGUUCUAACGUGGGCCCGUGAUCCGGGUUGCGGACAGUGUCUGGUGGGUAGUUUGACUGGGGCGGUCUCCUCCUAAAGAGUAACGGAGGAGCACGAAGGUCAGCUAAUCCUGGUCGGACAUCAGGAGGUUAGUGCAAUGGCAUAAGCUGGCUUGACUGCGAGCGUGACGGCGCGAGCAGGUGCGAAAGCAGGUCAUAGUGAUCCGGUGGUUCUGAAUGGAAGGGCCAUCGCUCAACGGAUAAAAGGUACUCCGGGGAUAACAGGCUGAUACCGCCCAAGAGUUCAUAUCGACGGCGGUGUUUGGCACCUCGAUGUCGGCUCAUCACAUCCUGGGGCUGAAGUAGGUCCCAAGGGUAUGGCUGUUCGCCAUUUAAAGUGGUACGCGAGCUGGGUUUAGAACGUCGUGAGACAGUUCGGUCCCUAUCUGCCGUGGGCGCUGGAGAAUUGAGGGGGGCUGCUCCUAGUACGAGAGGACCGGAGUGGACGCAUCACUGGUGUUCGGGUUGUCAUGCCAAUGGCAUUGCCCGGUAGCUAAAUGCGGAAGAGAUAAGUGCUGAAAGCAUCUAAGCACGAAACUUGCCCCGAGAUGAGUUCUCCCUGACCCUUUAAGGGUCCUGAAGGAACGUUGAAGACGACGACGUUGAUAGGCCGGGUGUGUAAGCGCAGCGAUGCGUUGAGCUAACCGGUACUAAUGAACCGUGAGGCUUAACCUU
rnacentral:rRNA from 1 species